UUACGGCCGUAUCACGUUGAAACACAGAUUCCUGUUCGAUCACAGAAGUUAAGCAACGUUGAACCGGGUUAGUACCUCGAUGUGUUACCGCUUGGGAAUACCAGAUGCUGU